rnacentral:rRNA from 1 species
CAGUAGCCGCGGGAAUACGUAGGGUGCAAGCGUUAUCCGGAAUUAUUGGGCGUAAAGAGCUCGUAGGCGGUUUGUCGCGUCUGCUGUGAAAACUGGAGGCUCAACCGCCAGCCUGCAGUGGGUACGGGCAGACUAGAGUGCGGUAGGGGAGAUUGGAAUUCCUGGUGUAGCGGUGGAAUGCGCAGAUAUCAGGAGGAACACCGAUGGCGAAGGCAGAUCUCUGGGCCGUAACUGACGCUGAGGAGCGAAAGCAUGGGGAGCGAACAGGAUUAGAUACCCGAGUAGUCCCUGUCUCUUAUAC